rnacentral:rRNA from 1 species
UACAGAGGUCUCAAGCGUUGUUCGGAUUCAUUGGGCGUAAAGGGUGCGUAGGUGGCGGGGUAAGUCAGGUGUGAAAGCCCCCGGCUCAACCGGGGAACUGCGCUUGAAACUGUUAGGCUCGAGUCAGCUAGAGGUACACGGAACUUCCAGUGGAGCGGUGAAAUGUGUUGAUAUUGGAAGGGACACCGGAGGCGAAAGCGGUGUACUGGGGCUGGUCUGACGCUGAGGCACGAAAGCCAGGGGAGCGAACGGG